GGGGGUCAGUGUGGACUCGAUGGACUGAAUGGCGUGCUUUCACACUAGGCAUUCUGUAAUACCAUCAAAAUUCCAAGCAGUGUUGUCUGAGACUAGGUAGUGAAUAAAAUGAGCUUGUGGUGAGUCUACUUCAAAGCAUUGCUCUCACUUUAUACUUUAGAAGUGCCUCCUGUCAACUUUGCAGCUCCAUCCAGUCUGGUAUAAUACUAAAUGGUAAAGGUAAAGCUGCCAUAGUCUUAGACUAUAGGGUUCCUCUCACUUUGAAGAGAGAUCAUAGGUGGUAGUUUAAUCUGAGGGACACCACGCCUCAGGUGUGGGGAGAUGUUGAGAAGGGCAGUCUUCAUUGUGCAGUAAUUGAACCCACGCUGGUCACAUCACUCUGCAUCAUAAACUAGUUAUCAAGCCAAGCCAAGCCAACUCAACUAAACUCUGCAGUCUACCUGUGAAUUGUGGUGGGCAAUUGAAUAAUUCAUUGGAGGAGGCUGCUCCAUAAAUAUCAUCGCUGAAAAUGUGUUGCUGGAACAGCGCAGCAGGUAAGGCAGCAUCCAGGGAACAGGAGAAUCGACGUUUCGGGCAUAAGCCCUUCUUCAGGAAUGAGGAAAGUGAUCAUCCCCAAUGAUGGGGAACCCGGGACCUAGUGUACAAGACAAGACUGAAGCAUUUUGCAACAGUCUUCAGCUGGAACUGGAUGAACAGUCUUGACCUGGAACUGGAUGAACAGUCUUGACUUCCUCCAGAGUCCCCCAGCAUUACAGGCGGUGAUAUUAAUAAACAUUUGAAGGCAGUGGAUACAGCAAAGAUUUUCCCUCCAACAUAAGGUCACAAGCGAAGAUAUUUGCUGAUUGUACCGUGUACUCUCAACCUCAAUUGUGACUUCUCAUACUUAAGCAACAUGUGUCUAAUCUUAGCAAAAUUUCGACAAUGUCCUGGUUUGGGUUGACAAAUGGAAAGUACAUUCGUGCCAGAUAACCAUCCUAUCCAACAAGCGAGUCAAACCAUUGUCACUUGACACUCAAUGGCUUUAUCGUCUCCUACUAUCCACAUUCUGAGGGUUACCAUUGACCAGAAACUGAACUGGUCCAGAUCAGAAACUAGGAACCCCGUAGCAGGUAAGUUACUACCUAACUCCUAAAUCUGUUCACCAUCUACAAGGCGCAAGUCAAGAGUGUGAUGGUAUAUUCCCCACUUGCUUGGUUGAAUGCAACUCCACCAACACUGAAGAAGCUUGACACUAUCCAGGACAAAGCAUCCUGCUUGAUUGGCCCCACAUUAGUAAAUUUCCUCCCCCACUGACACACAAUUACACCAGUGUGCCCAUUUAUACGAUUCACUGAGGAAGUUUACAAAGAUUCCUCAGGUAGCACCUUACAAAUCCUUGACCACUGUCCAUCUAUAAGGACAAAGGCAGCAGAUACACAGAACAUCAUCACCUUCGAGCUCCCUGCUGAACCACCCACAAAUGUGACAUUAAGCUAUUGGCGAUCCUUCAACUUCACUUGAUCAAAACCCUAGAAAUCCCUUCCUUACUGUGCUUUAAGUGUACUAUGCCCAAUGGACUACAGCAGUUCAAGAAGGCAGUUCAUCACCAUAUUCUGAAGGGCAACUUCAGAAGGGCAGGAGUAAUUAAAAACUGGUCCAACAAACAAAGGAAACAUCCCAGGAUUGAAUUUAGAAUUAGCUUAAUUGUCAUGUACUCAAAUGAGUACAGUGAAAAUUGUACAAGUUGCUGCUGUGGCUCCAUCUUCAGUAGAAAGGUCCCUAAGUACAGCUGCUUCACUUACAGUUCUGAGAAAAUUAGAGAAGUAAAAAGUCCAGCAUUGCAGAUUUUAUGAAUAAAUGAUAAAAUGAAGGGAAAAAAGUUCAGAACAACUAUCUUCCAACCCAGUCCAGGCUGGCACCCAGCCCCCAGUCUGCCUGGGCCUUGACUGCAGACCACAUCAGGCUUCACCUCCAACUUCAUGAGGCUGGGAGAUCACUGUGGAAUUGCCUCAAGACCAACGGUCCAGUAGGUGUUGUUGGCUUAGGUUUGGAACACAGACUCAUCUGCUGUCUUUCACUCAAGCUGUAGGACGUGGCUGGGAGAGGGCUAAACCUAAAGUUGAAUGACUGAUUUGCCUAACAUAUCUCCACGAGUCCAGCUGCAGGGUUCAAGUGAACAAUAUGAAUUGCUUCCAAAUAAGGUCUUCAGUCUUUUACAGUGGGAACAUAUGCUAAUGUGUUCACGGAUCCACCAGCUGAAGACAACUAUGUUUCAGCCUGCUUUAAGAGAAUUUUGAAUUGAUGCUGAAUAAUGAGUAUAAUCUUCUGGUUUGGUUAAAAAUGUGAUGCACAGUGACAGAAUGUAUACCGUCUACACGAUGCACUGCAGCAAUUCACCCAGAUUCCUUCACAGUAACUUCCAAAGGAUAAAGAUGGCAGAUUCAUGGAAACAAUACCAUCUGCAAGCCACACAUCAUCCUGACUUGGAGCCAUACCACCAUUCUUCACUGUCAAUGAAAACGUCCUUUCCAGUUGCAAUGUGGAUGUAUUCAUUCACACCAUGGACUACAGCAGAGCAAGAAACAGCUUACCAUCAUCUUCACAAGAGCAGUUAAGGAUGGACAAUAAAUUCUGGUCUAAUCAGUGAUGCCCAGAUCCCUUGAAUGAAUAAACAAAACAAUCAUUGUUGGCAUUGCCAAUGAUGUUCACUCACAAAAGUGAAUAAAGAAUACAUUUCUGCAUCUCUGAUUGCAAUAGAUACGAUUUAUUAAUAUAGCUCAAAAAUGCAUUUGAUUGUUGGAGCCAAAUCAAAGAGUGGAAAGGCUAGCUGUAAUUUACAUGGAUAAUAAUAGGAUUGAAUGAAGUAAGAUAUUUACAGUAGAAAAACAAACAAAAUUUCCAUUGAGAAAAUUAAUCCUCAGAAUUGCCACAUGCAUUUUCCAACAAAUUUGAUAGAACUCCCUGAAAAAUGUAAAAAUGGUAGGUCAUGCAGUUUUUUUCUGAGGGUUCUAAUAAUGUCAACAAAAUAUGGGUAGGAUGGUCCACAUGCAAAUUUGAGGUCAUUAUUUCUAGCAAGCACAAUUGCUUAACCCUUAGAAAAGUAAUCGAUAAAUAAAUAAAUGAAUACUACAUUGAUAACAUAUUUGCAUGCUUCAAAAUUAGAAAUGUGUAUUCCAUCAUGAAUUUGAGCAAAUAAACAAGUACAAUAUUGAAGCAGUCCUACAUUCUUUACACAUAUUCUGAAGUGUAAUCAUCCAAUUGAGAUAUUAAACUGUGUGCUCAAGUGGAUAAGUGAGGACCCCAUUAAAUUAUUUAAAGGAAAAGAAAGUUUGAUUAUGUCCUAAGAGCAUUCGUUUUCCACCUAAAUUAUCAAUAUCAGACUAUCUGCUGAUUACUUCCCUGUUUGUGACAAUUUAUUUUGCUAUCACCGUACUAUCUAUAAACCUUGUCCUCUGCCUGCUCAGUACAUUGAUUGUUAUUCAGAAAAUACCCCAUUGGCUGUGAUCGUUAUGUCUAAAGGUGAUGAUAAUUAGUUGCAGGUCCUUUCUUUUAAUAACUAAGUCUACCUGAAACAAAUUUGAAAAGGUAUCAUCCUGCUUUUCAGGGGAAUCUGAGAGAUAACAAAAGAACUCCAAAACCAUGCUUGGUGUGCACUAUUGGUAAUGCAUUUUCUGGAAGUCAGGCAGUUUUGGUGCCUUUCUCUGAGCACUGAGUCUCCACCUCCCUGAAACUGACUUCAGUUGUAGGGAACAGGAGACAGUGAAUUUAAUGAGUUUUGGCUUUUAUUUAUAUAUUGUUCUAACAUUGUAGAAAAUCAUGAAAGUGCAUGUGAUGCUAUUGUAAUCUGUGUAUUAUAAAAGUGGUAUGACAACUAA